rnacentral:ncRNA from 1 species
GCCCAGGCACUCCAGGCACGGGUGUACCCGCAACCGGGGUGCCCGCAACCGGUGUACCCGCAACCGGGGUGCCCGCAACUGGGGUGCCCGCAACUGGGGCAUCA